GGAUGCUAUGGCGACCAGAGGAAAUCAGGCUACGGCCUGGCUCGAGGAUGGGCCCGCGUCCCAUUAGCUAGUUGGUGAGGUAACGGCCCACCAAGGCGACGAUGGGUAUCCGGCCUGAGAGGGUGAACGGACACAUUGGGACUGAGAUACGGCCCAGACUCCUACGGGAGGCAGCAGCUAAGAAUAUUCCGCAAUGGGGGAAACCCUGACGGAGCGACGCCGCGUGGAUGAUGAAGGCCGGAAGGUUGUAAAGUCCUUUUGGGCGCAAAGAAUAAGUACGCGAGGAAAUGCGCGUGCGGUGACGGUAGCGCCUGAAUAAGCAACGGCUAAUUACGUGCCAGCAGCCGCGGUAACACGUAAGUUGCGAGCGUUGUUCGGAAUUAUUGGGCGUAAAGGGCAUGUAGGCGGUUUCGUAAGCCUGGUGUGAAAUCCUGCAGCUUAACUGUAGAAUUGCAUUGGGUACUGCGAGACUUGAAUCAUAGAGGGGAAACUAGAAUUUCAGGUGUAGGGGUGGAAUCUGUAGAUAUCUGAAAGAAUACCGGUGGCGAAGGCGGGUUUCUAGCUAAUGAUUGACGCUGAGGUGCGAAAGUGCGGGGAGCAAACAGGAUUAGAUACCCUGGUAGUCCGCACCGUAAACGAUGUACACUAGGUGUAGGGGCAUGAGUCUCUGUGCCAAAGCUAACGCAAUAAGUGUACCGCCUGGGAAGUAUGCUCGCAAGGGUGAAACUCAAAGGAAUUGACGGGGGCCCGCACAAGCGGUGGAGCAUGUGGUUUAAUUCGAUGGUACGCGAGGAACCUUACCUGGGUUUGACAUACACAGGAAUAAUUCAGAGAUGAGUUAGCGUAGCAAUACGUCUGUGAACAGGUGCUGCAUGUCUGUCGUCAGCUCGUGCCGUGAGGUGUUGGGUUAAGUCCCGCAACGAGCGCAACCCCUACUGCCAGUUACUAACAGGUAACGCUGAGGACUCUGGCGGAACUGCCGGUGACAAACCGGAGGAAGGUGGGGAUGACGUCAAGUCAUCAUGGCCCUUAUGUCCAGGG
rnacentral:rRNA from 1 species